CCCGCAGUGAGGGACAUGUGUGAACGGACCAGCCUGCAUCUCUCAGGAGUGUUUGUCUGGAAAGGUCUCACGUUGAUUCUGAGGACUGACCACAUGAACAUAAUAUCCAUGUUCAGUCCAGUAUGAAGGAUUCCACCUGAGGCGAUGUGGAGAGCUCCAUCUUGGGACCAGCCUGACCCUUCAAGCCAGCAGAGUUCUGGGUUAGUGGCACAUGACUGUUGAAGAUUUCUACACAGCCAUCCUCUGUUCUUCGUGCUGACAUGCAUGCACACUGUCGAGGUAUGGAAGCCUUUAAAACCACGCCAUGAGCACAGGUUUGUAGGGCUGUAUCAUAAAAUAAAACCUCUUACAUACAGAA